GAUGAACGCUGGCGGCGUGCCUAAUACAUGCAAGUCGAGCGAACAGACGAGGAGCUUGCUCCUCUGACGUUAGCGGCGGACGGGUGAGUAACACGUGGAUAACCUACCUAUAAGACUGGGAUAACUUCGGGAAACCGGAGCUAAUACCGGAUAAUAUAUUGAACCGCAUUGUUCAAUAGUGAAAGACGGUUUUGCUGUCACUUAUAGCUGGAUCCGCGCCGCAUUAGCUAGUUGGUAAGGUAACGGCUUACCAAGGCAACGAUGCGUAGCCGACCUGAGAGGGUGAUCGGCCACACGGGAACUGAGACACGGUCCAGACUCCUACGGGAGGCAGCAGUAGGGAAUCUUCCGCAAUGGGCGAAAGCCUGACGGAGCAACGCCGCGUGAGUGAUGAAGGUCUUCGGAUCGUAAAACUCUGUUAUUAGGGAAGAACAAAUGUGUAAGUAACUAUGCACGUCUUGACGGUACCUAAUCAGAAAGCCACGGCUAACUACGUG
rnacentral:rRNA from 1 species